GACCCAAUGGCAUAGUGGUUAAUGUGCCUGCUCAAAGUCAUCCAGUGACGCACUACUUAAGUAGGAGACUCUCGUUCGAAUCGGGGUUGGGUCA